AUGAAUGAAGAUAUUGAACAGGUCCGUCAUGUCUCGGUGCUGUGGGCGUGUCGUGUCAGGGGGAGGGGUGGACCACUCACUCACUGCCGUGCCCGUGCAGCUGCAGCGGUAGGGCGGAGUGUCAGCGUUGGCCGUGGAUCAUGGUCCCUUCUUCCUCAGCAGCACCAUUCAGCUCACCACAGAAGCUGUGUUUUUUUCUUCUUGGUUUUUCACUUUCUACUUCUUGUUCGGUCUGUGCUGUUGCUUUCCGGCAUUGUAGCAACGCAUUGCCGGACGGGGACAGCGACGGGAUGGAACGGACGGAGCCACGGAGGGGACAUGCUUUUCUUGCGACGCGUAAAAAAAAACGACGGAUGCCCACGCCGUCCGCGUCCGGAGAUCGGAUGA
rnacentral:rRNA from 1 species